rnacentral:rRNA from 1 species
AGAGUUUGAUCCUGGCUCAGAGCGAACGCUGGCGGCAGGCCUAACACAUGCAAGUCGAACGGACUCUUCGGAGUUAGUGGCGGACGGGUGAGUAACACGUGGGAACGUGCCUUUAGGUUCGGAAUAAGCUCGGGAAACUGGGUCUAAUACCGAAUGUGCCCUUCGGGGGAAAGAUUUAUCGCCUUUAGAGCGGCCCGCGUCUGAUUAGCUAGUUGGUGGUGUAAUGGACCACCAAGGCGACGAUCAGUAGCUGGUCUGAGAGGAUGACCAGCCACAUUGGGACUGAGACACGGCCCAAACUCCUACGGGAGGCAGCAGUGGGGAAUCUUGCGCAAUGGGCGAAAGCCUGACGCAGCCAUGCCGCGUGUAUGAUGAAGGUCUUAGGAUUGUAAAAUACUUUCACCGGUGAAGAUAAUGACUGUAGCCGGAGAAGAAGCCCCGGCUAACUUCGUGCCAGCAGCCGCGGUAAUACGAAGGGGGCUAGCGUUGCUCGGAAUUACUGGGCGUAAAGGGAGCGUAGGCGGACAUUUAAGUCAGGGGUGAAAUCCCAGAGCUCAACUCUGGAACUGCCUUUGAUACUGGAUGUCUUGAGUGUGAGAGAGGUAUGUGGAACUCCGAGUGUAGAGGUGAAAUUCGUAGAUAUUCGGAAGAACACCAGUGGCGAAGGCGACAUACUGGCUCAUUACUGACGCUGAGGCUCGAAAGCGUGGGGAGCAAACAGGAUUAGAUACCCCGGUAGUCC